rnacentral:rRNA from 1 species
GGGUUGUGAGGUUAAGCGACUAAGCGUACACGGUGGAUGCCCUGGCAGUCAGAGGCGAUGAAGGGCGUGCUAAUCUGCGAUAAGCGCCGGUAAGGUGAUAUGAACCGUUAUAACCGGCGAUACCCGAAUGGGGAAACCCAGUGUGAUUCGUCACACUAUCAUUAACUGAAUCCAUAGGUUAAUGAGGCGAACCGGGGGAACUGAAACAUCUAAGUACCCCGAGGAAAAGAAAUCAACCGAGAUUCCCCCAGUAGCGGCGAGCGAACGGGGAGGAGCCCAGAGCCUGAAUCAGCAUGUGUGUUAGUGGAAGCGUCUGGAAAGGCGCGCGAUACAGGGUGACAGCCCCGUACACAAAAGCGCAUGUGCUGUGAGCUCGAUGAGUAGGGCGGGACACGUGGUAUCCUGUCUGAAUAUGGGGGGACCAUCCUCCAAGGCUAAAUACUCCUGACUGACCGAUAGUGAACCAGUACCGUGAGGGAAAGGCGAAAAGAACCCCGGCGAGGGGAGUGAAAAAGAACCUGAAACCGUGUACGUACAAGCAGUGGGAGCACAGGUUUACCUGUGUGACUGCGUACCUUUUGUAUAAUGGGUCAGCGACUUAUAUUCUGUAGCAAGGUUAACCGUAUAGGGGAGCCGAAGGGAAACCGAGUCUUAACCGGGCGUUAAGUUGCAGGGUAUAGACCCGAAACCCGGUGAUCUAGCCAUGGGCAGGUUGAAGGUUGGGUAACACUAACUGGAGGACCGAACCGACUAAUGUUGAAAAAUUAGCGGAUGACCUGUGGCUGGGGGUGAAAGGCCAAUCAAACCGGGAGAUAGCUGGUUCUCCCCGAAAGCUAUUUAGGUAGCGCCUCGUGAAUUCAUCUCCGGGGGUAGAGCACUGUUUCGGCUAGGGGGCCAUCCCGGCUUACCAACCCGAUGCAAACUGCGAAUACCGGAGAAUGUUAUCACGGGAGACACACGGCGGGUGCUAACGUCCGUCGUGAAGAGGGAAACAACCCAGACCGCCAGCUAAGGUCCCAAAGUCAUGGUUAAGUGGGAAACGAUGUGGGAAGGCCCAGACAGCCAGGAUGUUGGCUUAGAAGCAGCCAUCAUUUAAAGAAAGCGUAAUAGCUCACUGGUCGAGUCGGCCUGCGCGGAAGAUGUAACGGGGCUAAACCAUGCACCGAAGCUGCGGCAGCGAACGUAUCACUUAAAGCGAUUCAGCGGGUUACGAUUGACGGAGCGAAGCGACGUCAAAGCGUAUACAAAGUCGAGUCGGUUUAAGGAUACGUUCGUUGGGUAGGGGAGCGUUCUGUAAGCCUGUGAAGGUGUGUCGUGAGGCAUGCUGGAGGUAUCAGAAGUGCGAAUGCUGACAUAAGUAACGAUAAAGCGGGUGAAAAGCCCGCUCGCCGGAAGACCAAGGGUUCCUGUCCAACGUUAAUCGGGGCAGGGUGAGUCGACCCCUAAGGCGAGGCCGAAAGGCGUAGUCGAUGGGAAACGGGUUAAUAUUCCCGUACUUGGUGUUACUGCGAAGGGGGGACGGAGAAGGCUAUGUUGGCCGGGCGACGGUUGUCCCGGUUUAAGCGUGUAGGUGUGUGUUCCAGGUAAAUCCGGUUCACUUUAACACUGAGGCGUGACGACGAGGCACUACGGUGCUGAAGCAACAAAUGCCCUGCUUCCAGGAAAAGCCUCUAAGCAUCAGGUAACAUCAAAUCGUACCCCAAACCGACACAGGUGGUCAGGUAGAGAAUACCAAGGCGCUUGAGAGAACUCGGGUGAAGGAACUAGGCAAAAUGGUGCCGUAACUUCGGGAGAAGGCACGCUGACACGUAGGUGAAGUGAUUUACUCAUGGAGCUGAAGUCAGUCGAAGAUACCAGCUGGCUGCAACUGUUUAUUAAAAACACAGCACUGUGCAAACACGAAAGUGGACGUAUACGGUGUGACGCCUGCCCGGUGCCGGAAGGUUAAUUGAUGGGGUCAGCGCAAGCGAAGCUCCUGAUCGAAGCCCCGGUAAACGGCGGCCGUAACUAUAACGGUCCUAAGGUAGCGAAAUUCCUUGUCGGGUAAGUUCCGACCUGCACGAAUGGCGUAAUGAUGGCCAGGCUGUCUCCACCCGAGACUCAGUGAAAUUGAACUCGCUGUGAAGAUGCAGUGUACCCGCGGCAAGACGGAAAGACCCCGUGAACCUUUACUAUAGCUUGACACUGAACAUUGAGCCUUGAUGUGUAGGAUAGGUGGGAGGCUUUGAAGCGUGGACGCCAGUCUGCGUGGAGCCGACCUUGAAAUACCACCCUUUAAUGUUUGAUGUUCUAACGUGGACCCGUGAUCCGGGUUGCGGACAGUGUCUGGUGGGUAGUUUGACUGGGGCGGUCUCCUCCUAAAGAGUAACGGAGGAGCACGAAGGUUGGCUAAUCCUGGUCGGACAUCAGGAGGUUAGUGCAAUGGCAUAAGCCAGCUUGACUGCGAGCGUGACGGCGCGAGCAGGUGCGAAAGCAGGUCAUAGUGAUCCGGUGGUUCUGAAUGGAAGGGCCAUCGCUCAACGGAUAAAAGGUACUCCGGGGAUAACAGGCUGAUACCGCCCAAGAGUUCAUAUCGACGGCGGUGUUUGGCACCUCGAUGUCGGCUCAUCACAUCCUGGGGCUGAAGUAGGUCCCAAGGGUAUGGCUGUUCGCCAUUUAAAGUGGUACGCGAGCUGGGUUUAGAACGUCGUGAGACAGUUCGGUCCCUAUCUGCCGUGGGCGCUGGAGAACUGAGGGGGGCUGCUCCUAGUACGAGAGGACCGGAGUGGACGCAUCACUGGUGUUCGGGUUGUCAUGCCAAUGGCACUGCCCGGUAGCUAAAUGCGGAAGAGAUAAGUGCUGAAAGCAUCUAAGCACGAAACUUGCCCCGAGAUGAGUUCUCCCUGAGACUUAGAGUCUCCUGAAGGAACGUUGAAGACGACGACGUUGAUAGGCCGGGUGUGUAAGCGCAGCGAUGCGUUGAGCUAACCGGUACUAAUGAACCGUGAGGCUUAACCUUACAACGCCGAAG